rnacentral:rRNA from 1 species
UACGGAGGGAGCAAGCGUUACUCGGAAUUAUUGGGCGUAAAGGGCGCGUAGGCGAUCUGACAAGUCCUGUGUGAAAGCCCAGAGCUUAACUCUGGAAGUGCACAGGAGACUGUUGUGAAUUGAGUUCAGGAGAGGAAAGCAGAAUUCCCGGUGUAGCGGUGAAAUGCGUAGAGAUCGGGAGGAAUACCAGUGGCGAAGGCGGCUUUCUGGACUGACACUGACGCUGAGGCGCGAAAGCCAGGGGAGCAAACGGGAUUAGAAACCCCAGUAGUCC